rnacentral:rRNA from 1 species
AGUGAACGCUGGCGGUAGGCCUAACACAUGCAAGUCGAACGGCAGCACAGUAAGAGCUUGCUCUUACGGGUGGCGAGUGGCGGACGGGUGAGGAAUACAUCGGAAUCUACUUUUUCGUGGGGGAUAACGUAGGGAAACUUACGCUAAUACCGCAUACGACCUACGGGUGAAAGCAGGGGAUCUUCGGACCUUGCGCGAUUGAAUGAGCCGAUGUCGGAUUAGCUAGUUGGCGGGGUAAAGGCCCACCAAGGCGACGAUCCGUAGCUGGUCUGAGAGGAUGAUCAGCCACACUGGAACUGAGACACGGUCCAGACUCCUACGGGAGGCAGCAGUGGGGGAUAUUGGACAAUGGGCGCAAGCCUGAUCCAGCCAUACCGCGUGGGUGAAGAAGGCCUUCGGGUUGUAAAGCCCUUUUGUUGGGAAAGAAAAGCAGCAGGUUAAUACCCCGCUGUUCUGACGGUACCCAAAGAAUAAGCACCGGCUAACUUCGUGC